AUACGUAGGGGGCGAGCGUUGUCCGGAAUGAUUGGGCGUAAAGGGCGCGUAGGCGGCCCGGUAAGUCUGGAGUGAAAGUCCUGCUUUUAAGGUGGGAAUUGCUUUGGAUACUGUCGGGCUUGAGCGCAGGAGAGGUAAGUGGAAUUCCCAGUGUAGCGGUGAAAUGCGUAGAGAUUGGGAGGAACACCAGUGGCGAAGGCGACUUACUGGACUGUAACUGACGCUGAGGCGCGAAAGUGUGGGGAGCAAACAGGAUUAGAUACCCUGGUAGUCCACACUGUAAACGAUGAAUGCUAGGUGUAGGGGGUAUCGACCCCUUCUGUGCCGCAGUUAACACAAUAAGCAUUCCGCCUGGGGAGUACGGCCGCAAGGUUGAAACUCAAAUGAAUUGACGGGG
rnacentral:rRNA from 1 species